ACGCUAGCUACAGGCUUAACACAUGCAAGUCGAGGGGCAGCAUUUUAGUUUGCUUGCAAACUAAAGAUGGCGACCGGCGCACGGGUGAGUAACACGUAUCCAACCUGCCGAUAACUCGGGGAUAGCCUUUCGAAAGAAAGAUUAAUAUCCGAUAGUAUAUUAAAACCGCAUGGUUUUACUAUUAAAGAAUUUCGGUUAUCGAUGGGGAUGCGUUCCAUUAGUUUGUUGGCGGGGUAACGGCCCACCAAGACAACGAUGGAUAGGGGUUCUGAGAGGAAGGUCCCCCACAUUGGAACUGAGACACGGUCCAAACUCCUACGGGAGGCAGCAGUGAGGAAUAUUGGUCAAUGGACGAGAGUCUGAACCAGCCAAGUAGCGUGAAGGAUGACUGCCCUAUGGGUUGUAAACUUCUUUUAUAUGGGAAUAAAGUAUUCCACGUGUGGGAUUUUGUAUGUACCAUAUGAAUAAGGAUCGGCUAACUCCGUGCCAGCAGCCGCGGUAAUACGGAGGAUCCGAGCGUUAUCCGGAUUUAUUGGGUUUAAAGGGAGCGUAGGUGGAUUGUUAAGUCAGUUGUGAAAGUUUGCGGCUCAACCGUAAAAUUGCAGUUGAAACUGGCAGUCUUGAGUACAGUAGAGGUGGGCGGAAUUCGUGGUGUAGCGGUGAAAUGCUUAGAUAUCACGAAGAACUCCGAUUGCGAAGGCAGCUCACUAGACUGCAACUGACACUGAUGCUCGAAAGUGUGGGUAUCAAACAGGAUUAGAUACCCUGGUAGUCCACACAGUAAACGAUGAAUACUCGCUGUUUGCGAUAUACAGUAAGCGGCCAAGCGAAAGCAUUAAGUAUUCCACCUGGGGAGUACGCCGGCAACGGUGAAACUCAAAGGAAUUGACGGGGGCCCGCACAAGCGGAGGAACAUGUGGUUUAAUUCGAUGAUACGCGAGGAACCUUACCCGGGCUUAAAUUGCAUUUGAAUAAUCUGGAAACAGGUUAGCCGCAAGGCAAAUGUGAAGGUGCUGCAUGGUUGUCGUCAGCUCGUGCCGUGAGGUGUCGGCUUAAGUGCCAUAACGAGCGCAACCCUUAUCUUUAGUUACUAACAGGUCAUGCUGAGGACUCUAGAGAGACUGCCGUCGUAAGAUGUGAGGAAGGUGGGGAUGACGUCAAAUCAGCACGGCCCUUACGUCCGGGGCUACACACGUGUUACAAUGGGGGGUACAGAAGGCAGCUACCUGGCGACAGGAUGCUAAUCCCAAAAACCUCUCUCAGUUCGGAUCGAAGUCUGCAACCCGACUUCGUGAAGCUGGAUUCGCUAGUAAUCGCGCAUCAGCCAUGGCGCGGUGAAUACGUUCCCGGGCCUUGUACACACCGCCCGUCAAGCCAUGAAAGCCGGGGGUACCUGAAGUACGUAACCGCAAGGAGCGUCCUAGGGUAAAACUGGUAAU
rnacentral:rRNA from 1 species